UACGGGGGGGGGCAAGCGUUGUUCGGAAUUACUGGGCGUAAAGGGCUCGUAGGCGGCCAACUAAGUCGGAUGUGAAAUCCCCAAGCUUAACUUGGGAACUGCAUCCGAUACUGGAUGGCUUGAAUCCGGGAGAGGGAUGCAGAAUUCCAGGUGUAGCGGUGAAAUGCGUAGAUAUCUGGAGGAACACCGGUGGCGAAGGCGGCAUCCUGGACCGGCAUUGACGCUGAGGCGCGAAAGCCAGGGGAGCAAACGGG
rnacentral:rRNA from 1 species